rnacentral:rRNA from 1 species
UACAGAGGGCGCGAGCGUGUCCGGAAUCACUGGGCGUAAAGGGCGCGUAGGUGGCCACCAUAAGGCCGCGGUGAAAGUUCGGGGCUCAACCCCGGAUCGGCCGCGGCGACUGUGGGGCUCGGGUACUGUAGAGGCAGAUGGAAUUCCGGGUGUAGCGGUGGAAUGCGUAGAUAUCUGGAGGAACACCAGUGGCGAAGGCGGCUCACUGGCCCGGUACUGACGCUGAGGAGCGAAAGCGUGGGUAGCAAACAGG